rnacentral:rRNA from 1 species
ACUGGCUCAGGACGAACGCUGGCGGCACGCUUAACACAUGCAAGUCGAACGGAGCUAAGAAGGAGCUGCUCAUCUAGCUUAGUGGCGGACGGGUGAGUAACACGUGAGCAACCUGCCUUUAAGAGUGGAAUAGCUUCUGGAAACGGAUGGUAAUACCGCAUAACAUUACGGGACCGCAUGAUUCUGUAAUCAAAGAUUUAUCGCUUAAAAGAUGGGCUCGCGUCUGAUUAGAUAGUUGGUGGGGUAACGGCCUACCAAGUCGACGAUCAGUAGCCGGACUGAGAGGUUGAACGGCCACAUUGGGACUGAGACACGGCCCAGACUCCUACGGGAGGCAGCAGGUGGGGAAUAUUGCACAAUGGGCGGAAGCCCUGAUGCAGCGAUGCCGCGUGGAGGAAGUAAGGUUUUCGGAUUAGUAAACUUCCUUUUAUCGAGGGACGAUAAUGACGGUACCUGAAGAAAAGCUCCGGCUAACUACGUGCCAGCCGCGGC